AGCCAGACUCCUACGGGAGGCAGCAGUGAGGAAUAUUGGUCAAUGGGCGGGAGCCUGAACCAGCCAAGUCGCGUGAGGGUAGACGGUCCUACGGAUUGUAAACCUCUUUUGCCGGGGAGCAACGGGGUCCUUGCGAGGGCCCAAUGAGAGUACCCGGAGAAAAAGCAUCGGCUAACUCCGUGCCAGCAGCCGCGGUAAUACGGAGGAUGCGAGCGUUAUCCGGAUUUAUUGGGUUUAAAGGGUGCGUAGGCGGGCUGUUACGUCCGGGGUAAACUGUGGGGGCCCACCCCGGGCCUGCCGUUGAAACUGGCGGCCUCGAGUGGGCGGGAAGUAUGCGGAAUGCGUGGUGUAGCGGUGAAAUGCAUAGAUAUCACGCAGAACUCCGAUUGCGAAGGCAGCAUACCGGCGCUCAACUGACGCUCAUGCACGAAAGUGUGGGUAUCGAACAGGAUUAGAUACCCCCGUA
rnacentral:rRNA from 1 species